GACCGGUUGGCGCAAUGGUAGCGUAUAGACCUCCUACUCCAUCACACAACCACCAUUCCAAUAAAGAAUGUGUCUUGUGUUGUAGAGGUCAGUCUAGGGUUGCGGGUUCGAGUCCCGUGCUGGUCG